rnacentral:lncRNA from 1 species
AGUUGUGCUGAUGUCCCAUAGCUAAACAGGACUGAGCCGAUGGCCAGGGAGGAAAUGAUAACUGGUUGGUCCAGGAAAGUGUCUUGGCCUUGGUGCAUCUGUAGCUGAGGAGUUGGUAUUUUCCCUGUGGUUGGAAUGUAGCAGUGAUCACAGGCACCAUGUGUGUACCUGGCCCCUGUAAUCCCAGCACGUGGAGACUGAGCCAGAAGCAUUGGAAGUUUAAAGGCGUGCGCCACCACUGCCUGGCGAAACAACCUUUUCUUAUUUAGCAUGAAAUGUAUACUAGGCC